GCAACCCUAGGUUGAUCCGAGAGUUCUGACCUCGCAGCGCCUGUCAAGCACCCAAGCUAACUGGCUAAAGUUGGCUAGCUUGCUAGCUACUUCUAGACACAAAUGAGAGAACACCUCACUCUGACCAUUUUACUCACCCUAGCAGAGGUGGUUAGGCUGUUUUCAUGGUGUCUAGAUUGCUGGUCACUAACUGUGCUGCUGGCAACAAUUUAAUUAAACAAUUUGGCCAACGUUUACUGACACCGGUCAUAUUCAACAGGUGUUGCGCGUUCGUAAAUUCAUCAGUUAUUCUGUGUUCCGGGAGUUCCAGGUGGGGGUGUACACACUGGAGGUCAACAUUGAUGAGCACAUGUAGGAGCCCAUCCGUGUGACGUCCAUCUACACCAGUGAAGGAGGUCUCCUAUAUAAGAAUUUGGCAGUAUGUCCAACCGGCCUCACAACCGCAGACCAUGUGUAACCACGCCAGCCCAGGACCUCCACAUCCGGCUUCUUCACCUGCAGGAUCACCUCAUACCAGCCACCCGGACAGCUUAUGCAACUGAGGAGUAUUUCUGUCUGUAAUUAAGCACUUUUGGGGGGAAAAACUGAUUCUGAUUGGCUGGGUCUGGCUUCCAAGUGGGUGGGCCUGGUUCCCAAGUGGGUGGGCCUAUGCUGCACCCCUGCCCUGUCAUGUGAAAUCCAUAGAUUUAUUUAAAUUGACUGAUUUCCUUAUUUGAACUGUAACUCGUAUUGUUGUUGCAACAAUUUAUAUUUUUGUUCAGUAUAAGAUACCUGUAGCUAGCUAGCUACCUAUUAGCCAUCAUAUUGCUAGCUUUCGUUUCAGCACCUUGCUUGACUGAUCUGUCUUAGCAACAGUAACUAUACGGCGGAGUUGUGGGAGAGAAUUUUUGUUACAUUUUUUAUUUAUUUUAUUAACAACAAAUCAAUACAGGAAGUACAUGUGGGAACACAAUUAUAUAUGAAUAAUAUACAAUGGACAAUUGGGCUAGGGGCGGGGCUGGGGGCGGGGCUAGGGGGACAUACAUACAGGACCUUAGGGGACAUACAUACACUUAUAAUUCUAACAACUUUUUUGUUAGUAGAGUAUUUAAUUGUCUCAAAAUACAGUUCAAUUUAUUUUUGUAAGGUAAGAAAAUGUGUUUUUUUGGUUUGUAAAUUUACAUUUGUGAAUAUGAAAUUUCGCCAAAAGAAUAAUGAAAUUAGUUACAUAAAAAUGUUUCAGCUUAUUUCUAUCGUAGGUAAAGAAUCCAAGCAAUACAUCUCUCCACAAUAGGGUAAGAUCUUCAUAAAUGUGUUCAAUUAUAAAUCUACUGAUGUCUUGUCACAGUUUUCUUACAUGAAUACAAUUCCAAAAAAGAUACAACACUGUUUCUGGGUGGUCAUUACAAAAGGAGCAAUUUGAGUUGAUGUUUUCCUUAAACUUCUACAUAUAGUGGUUGGCAGGAUAAUAUUUAUGAAUAAUUUUAAAGGAAAGUUACUUAAUUUUGUUAACAAGUAGGUAUGAGUGUGGCAACAUCCAAACUUUUUUCCAACAGAUAUUAGCAAUAAAUCCAUUUCAAUAAGGCAUGACAUAAGGUAUAGAGAUACAACAUCCUGCUGAAACAAGGUUCGUAUCGCUCUGUUGUUGAAUGGACCAAAAGAGAAACAAAUCUUUCCUACUGAUGAGUCAACAGGGUCAACGGAAGGUAGGCUCUGAGGGUCAGGUCUGGACACGUUCCUGAAUAAUAAAGCAACACCUGAGGGAAUGGCAUCUAAAACAACUGCAAAAUCUUUUGGUGUUACAGGGACCUUGUAAAGUGAUAAGAAUUCCUUAUAACUGAGUAAAAGACCCUCUGCAUUUACCAGUUAGCUCACCAAUAGGAUAUUAUUUCGGCACCAAUUUUCUAAAAACAAAUAAGUAUUUUUAUACAAUAUAUCCUGAUUAUUCCAUAUAUAAUAUCUGUGUGGAGAAAAAUUAUGCUUAUAAAUUAAGGACCAUGACAAGAAAACCUGUCGAUGAAAAGCAGAAAGUUUCUGGAACUUUGUCAAUAUUAUAAUUGCAAACCAACAUGAAGUUAAGGCCACCAAAAGUAGAGAAGACAUGAGGAAUAAAAUUCCACAUAGAAGUGGGUCUUCUUAGGAACUGUUUUAUCCAAUUGAUCUUAAAAGCAUUAUUUAAGGUAGUAAAGUUCAGAAAAUUCAUCCCAUCAUUCUCGUAAGUGUUCAUUACAACAGUUUUCCUAAUGUAAUGGGUACAGUUUCUCCACAGAAAGUUGAAAAGCAUCUUGUCUAUCUCCUUGCUUAUUUUACUGUCAAGAUAUAAAGAUAGAGCGCCAUAUGUUAGUCUAGAGACACCUUCAGCCUUGGUUAUUAGGACUCUUCCUUUUAAAGAUAAGUCCCUCUGUAGCCAUUGAUUUAGCUUCUUCUGGAUUUUUCUGGAUUUUUUAAUAAAAGGGUUAAAAUUUAGUAAGCCUCUAGACUUCUGAUCCUUUGUAAUGGUUAUGCCUAAAUAUGUAAGUUCUUCUUUUACUGGAAUAGCAUAAUAUGAAGAUGUCACACAAUCUUUGACAGCCAUGAGUUCACAUUUAUUAAUGUUAAGAAAUAGACAAGACACUUUGGAAAAGGAUUGUAUCACAUUGAUCGAUAUGGGAAUUUGGUUAGCAUCUUCCAGAAAAAGUGCAGUAUCGUCAGCCAGCUGGCUUAUAAUAAUUUCUUUACCAGCUAUGGAAAUACCUUGUAUAGGACUAUUAUUUAAAGAAUUUGUAAGAAGUUGGGUGAUUAAUAAAAACAGGUAUGGAGAGAUAGGACAACCUUGCCUAAUUCAUCUCUUUAACUCAAAUCUAGGUGAGGUGCCAUAUUUCCAUUUGAUAGAGCUGUUACUAUUUGUAUAGAGAGUCUUAAUAGCCUUACAGAAAAAAUCCCCAAAGCCAAGUGUCUCAAGGGAGUGGAAGAGGAACUGAUGCUCUGCUGUGUCAAAUGCUUUAUAAAAAUCUAAAAAUAAUGUGAAGCUGUCCUUGGUUAUUAGGUCUGAGUAGUCAAGUAUGUAUAAUACUAGUCUGACAUUGUUAGAAAUAUGUCUGUUCCUCAUAAAGCCAGACUAUGUUUCAUCAAUGAUUGCAUCCAGGACUUCUUUAAUUCUUUUUUGCAAGUAGUAAGGCUAAUAUCUUAUAGUCAUUAUUAAGAAGACAAAUUGGAUGCCAGUCAUCGAUGAGCAGCACUUCUUUUUUAGGCUUAGGUAUCAGUGUCAUUAACCCCGACUCAUUGUAGGAGGGAGAACAUUGUUUUUUAUACUCUCUAAAAAGACUUCAAGUAGGAAGGGAGCUACUUGUUCAGAAAAUAAUUUGUAAAAUUCUGAUGUAAUUCCAUCAACACCUGGUGAUUUAUUGUCCUGUAGAUGCUUGACAGACUCUAUAAUCGCUUCAACUUUGAUGGGUUCAUCACACUGUUUAGAUUCUUUAUCACUGAUAGAGUGAACAUUAUUCAGUGAGUCAAAAAACAUAUCUGUGGAUUCCUGACAGUACGUAGAGCUAUACAAUUUUCUGUAACAAUGUUUAACUUAUGGAUAGUGUUAUUUUUAGGUAAAAUUUCUCAAGUCUAAAGAAAUUGGAUGAAUUCUGUUCUCCCUCCUCAAUCCAUUUUUUCCUAGAUCUAAUAAAGGCCCCUUCUGCUUUUAAUCUAUUUAUAUUAUCCAGUUUAUUUUGUAACUCAAUUAGUUCCAUCUUCUCUUCCACUGAGAGGCUGGCUGGGGACCUAUGAGAAAGGGAAGUUAUCUUAAUGAUCACCUUUUCCUCCUCAGCUCUUCUGGUCUUAGCUAGAUUACUACCAUAUUUUGUAAGGUAUUUGGACACCUCAAAUUUAAAGAGCUCACAGUUCUUGCAAUACGAUUUUUCUUCACAAACCCUUUCCCAAAAGUGUGAAAGCAGAUCUUUAACCUCAAACUUAACUAUAUCAUUAUUUAAUAAUGAGCUAUUUAGCUUCCAGUAGGAUGCUCUACCAAGGUUAGUAUAAGGGGUAAAUAUUUUGAUAUCAAUGUAAAUGGCCCUAUGGUCUGUGAGGGGAGUAGUACAAAUAUUUGUAGUAACACACUCACUAUCAAUACAGUUGGAUAUAAGCCAAAAAUCUAUUCUGGAUUGUCUGGAACCUGUUUCGUUACUCCAAGUGAACGAUCUGUUGGCCGGAAACCUCUCUCUCCAUAUAUCAGUAAGAUCAAACUUUUCCAUAAAAAGUAUUAAACCCAAAUUCUGAUUGGUUGGCCUACCUGGGGGGCAUCUAUCAGUUUAAUUAUCUAUAGUAUUGUUAAAGUCCCCUCCUAUCAAUAAUAAUUAAUUUGGAAAUUUAGAUAACCAAUGAAGUAUAUGUUUCUCUAUAGAUUCAAGCAACUCAUCAUUCUCAUGUUUGGUGUUGUACAUGUAGAAGUUUACAGUAAUGAGCAUAAUGUCAUUGUAACUCAUCACAAGACAAAUAAAGCGACCAAAGGGUCACAUUCCGAGUGUAGAAUAUUACCACCAAAGGUAUUUUCAUUGUAGUGACACCAGCGGAGCGUUCAGAUCCAUGGGAAAGCCAAAUAUCGUUGCCCCACUGUGACCUCCAGAAGUUGGCAUCAGCCGAAAUUGAGUGAGACUCUUGAAAAAAGCAAAAAUCUGUUCGAAAUUGUUCAGCAAAUAAAAAUAAGGCCUUGCGCUUCACAUUGUUUCGUAAUCCCCUAGCAUUAAGAGAAACUAUAGACAAAGACAAAACAAAAAAGCUUAUAUAAAAGUAUAAACUGUAGUAGGAUGAGUCAGAAACGUAGGAGCAGUGAACGUAAGUGAUAAGGAACCGAGAUCUGCACCAUUUAAGUCAAUUUAAAGUGAAAAUAGCUUAUUCCAUAAACUUUGAGCUAGAUCUUUUGAAAUUCAACUCAACUGAAAAUUAUGUUCAAGACCCAACCAAGGGUUCUUGUAGUAAGAGAGACUAAAAACCCUCUUUAGUGUAAUCAGGAACUAUUCUGAGAAAUAAAAUACAAAAUAAUAAUUUAAAUAAAAGGGUACCUACUAUUUUAAGUGCAUAUGAAAACUGAUCACAAAAAAAUUGAAUAAAAAAUGUUUUACGUAUACAUGUUCCUAAGACCUUUUUCACUUGGAAAUAAGUAUUAAUAACUAAAUCGAACAAUAACCGUGUAAAGUCAGAGCAGACCUGUAUGUCCUUUAAAACAGUAUCUUAGUUACUGUAUACAUAAAAAAUAAAUACAGCUUUCAGUCUUCUUCAUAACUUUGUAAACAAAAUAGGCCUUCUAGUCAUACAAGAACAAACUAAUAAAUUGAAGUACCUGAGUAUUCCAAAAAAUAGUCACCUGAUGCUUGUUAGGUAAAGUUAAACAAUACAAGGAAAAUGAGAAUACCAUGGCCGAAACCAUCAAUCUGUUCUUUCUGGUGAGAUUUUAGGGAGGAAUAUGGAUUUCUGAACCGUUGAUGAAGCCUCGUCCUCCGACAAAGUAAGCAGCCUUUCACUCAUUUCGUGCUUUCUUGAUCGUUGGCCACAACUUGUUCCUUCUUUCUAUGUCCUCCGGGCUGAGAUGCUCGACGAAACACAUACCAUGGCUCUGAAGGAAGGCGUUCUUCCUAGCAGCUUUCCAGACAGCAUCCCUGUAGAAUCUGGCAGUAAAGAGGAUGAUGAUACCCUUGGUCUUGAAUCAUUUUGCUGUUGCUUCUUGCCGAGGCGAUGCACAACGUCAAUGGUAUCACCAACUUUGUUCUUCUCUGCAGGCAUAACUUCUUGGCAGAUGCGGAUAGCCUCUCCACGCACAUCUUCAUUCUCCACCUCUGGCACGCCGUAGAGUCUCAGGUUCCAUCUUCUUGUGUAUUGUUUCAGAUCAGUGAGACGUCUAUGGUAGACAUUGUUUUUCUUUUCCACACUUUUUUCAACUUUUGCCACUCUCAUUUUCACAUCCUUGAUAUCACCACAUGCAAACUCCAGUCUUUUUCAAACUUUCGAUAACCAUGGUGUUUGCGCCUACCAUUUUCUCAAUGGCGUCAGACCUGGAGUUGAUGAGUUGGCAUCAUGUCUCAGAAGCAGAUAUAUUACUCUGACAAAUACGAUGACGAGAAAUUCGAGUAUAGGCACGUGAUGCUGCCCAAGGACAUUGCCAAGCGUGUGCCCAAGACCCAUCUGAUGUCAGAGACUGAGUGGAGGAACCUUGGCGUCCAGCAGAGUCAAGGCUGGAUACACUACAUGAUCCAUCAACCAGAGCCCCACAUCUUGCUGUUCCGUCGUCCACUGCCUGCAGCCUGAUCUCUCGGACAGAGGGUGAGAGAGAACCCAUAGGGAAGAUGAUAAGAGAGUGGCUGGAGAUGGUUGAACACAACUCAGUUGGAUGGAUAAAGACUAUUUUGUAAAUACUGCAUCGUAUACACUGCAGUUGAGCCAGAGUCGAGCUCCAACCCACUGCCUCACUCACUGUAAAGCCUUUCAUAUUUCCUCUGGACCUGCUUGGAACCCUUUCAUAUUUUUCUCUAUAUGUACUAGCUUGAUAAUGUUGUCAAUGUGUGCAUCUGGGAAGAAAAGGAACAUCUGUGGAGGUAGCAACACAUUUUCAUUAUUCUAAACUUUAACCCACUAUACCUGCUGUGAGUUGACUAACAUAUCUAAUUUUAAGGCAGAUAGUAAGAUGGUAAAUGUUAAAAUGUAGGGGGCAGCAUUUUGGCAGCACAAAUGUGCAGGGAUGUUACCGAAAUUACUGAUCAUAUACCUGUUAUGGCACUUGAUUCAAAACUUAUUUUGAAUACCGCAGAUUGCAUCAAGUGUAUGCACUCUUACACUGUACAAAUGAUAGCCCUCUGGAUAUUGUAAAAAAAAUAUAAUUUUUUAUUUUUUUUUUUAAUUUUUUACAAAUCGUGUCGUGCUGCAGUUAUACUGUAGACUGUCUGCAGGUUUUAGAGCUGUCAAAAUGGGACCCAAUAUCUUCGUUGCCAUAUCUAUGAUUGUACAAAUCAGCUGCUCAGUUUAUGAAUUCUUGUACACCAGAAAUGUUUUUAUUUGAAAUUCUUCAGAUUGUGAUGUAGUUCUGCACUUUUAAACCUUUACAUUUUGCCGUUUUGCUUAUAGUGGUGUUAAAAGUGGGUUUGUAGAUGGAUAGAUUACAUGUCAAAAGUUUGUACACCUAUUCAUUCAAGGGUUUUGAUUUAUUUGAACUAUUUUAUACAUUGUAGAAUAAUAGUGAAGACAACUAUGGAAUCAUGUAGUGCUCAAAGUGUUAAACAAAUCAAAAUAUAUUUUAGAUUCUUCAAAGUAGCCACCCUUUGCCUGGACAGCUUUGCACACUCUUGGCAUUCUUUCAACCAGCUUCACCUGGAAUGCUUUUCCAACAGUCUUGGAGGAGUUACCACAUAUGCUGAGCACUUGUUGGCUGCUUUUCCUCCACUCUGCGGUCCAACUCAUCCCAAACCAUCUCAAUUGGGUUGAGGUCGAGUGAUUGUGGAGGCCAGGUCAUCUGAUGCAGCACUCCAUCACUCCUUUUUGUUCAGAUAGCCCUUACACAGCUUGGAGGUGUGUUAGGUCAUUGUCCUGUUGAAAAACAAAUGAUAAUACCACUAAGCGGAAACCAGAUGGGAUGGCAUAUCACUGCAGAAUGGUGUGGUAGCCAUGCUGGUUAGGUGUGCCUUGAAUUCUAAAGAAAUCACUGACUGUCACCAGCAAAGCACCAUCACACCACCUCCAUGCUUCACAGUGGGAACCACACAUGCGGAGAUCUGUUCACCUACUCUGCGUCUCACAAAGACACUGCGGUUGGAACCAAAAAUCUCCAAUUUGGACUCAUCAGACCAAAGGACAGAUUUCCACUGGUCUAAUGUCCAUUGCUUGUGUUUCUUAGCCCAAGCAAGUCUCUUCUUCCUAUUGGUGUCUUUUUAGUAGUUGUUUCUUUGCAGCCAUGAAGGCCUGAUUCACGCAGUCUCCUCUGAACAGUUGAUUUUGAGAUGUCUAUUUCUUGAACACCAUAAAGCAUUUAUUUGGGCUGCAAUUUCUGAGGUUGGUAACUCUAAUGAACUUAUCCUCUGCACAGAGGUAACUCUGGGUCUUCCUUUCCUGUGGCGGUCCUCUUGGGAGUCAGUUUCAUCAUAGUACUUGAUGGUUCUUGGGAUGGCACUUGAAGAAACUGACAAGUUCUUAAUUUUCCGAAUUGAUUUACCUUCAUGUCUUAAAGUAAUGAUGGAUUGUCAUUUUCUGUUUGCUUAUUUUAGCUGUCUUGCCAUAAUAUGGACUUGGUCUUUUGUCAAAUAGGGCUAUCUUCUGUAUACCACCCCUUGUCACAACACAACUGAUUGGCUCAAACACAUUAAGGAAAUGAACUUUUAUCAAGGAACACCAGUUAAUUGAAAUGAAUUCCAGGUGACUACCUCAGGAAGCUGGUUGAGAGAAUGCCAAGAAUGUGCAAAGCUGUCAAGGCAAAGGAUGGCUACUUUGAAGAAUCUCAUAUUUUGAUUUGUUUAACACUUUUUGAUUACUGGUAUGUUAUUUCAUAGUAUUGAUUUCUUCACUAUUAGUCUACAAUGUAAAAAAUAAAAACCCUUGAAAGAGGUGUGUCCAAACUUUUGACUGUUACUGUGUACAGUAUGUACAGUGCCAUUUCGGAAAGUGUUCAGACUCCUUAACUUUUUCUACAUUUUUAUUUAAUCAAUCUAUACACAACACCCCAUAAUGUCGAAGCCAAAACAGUUUCUUAGAACUGUUUGCUAAUUUAUAAAAAAUAAAAAAUUUAAAUACCGUAUUCACACAAGUAUUCAGACCCUUUUCUAUGAGACAUGAAAUUGAGCUCCUGUGCAUCCUGUUUCCAUUGAUCAUCCUUUUGAUGUUUCUACAACUUGAUUGGAGUCCAUCUGUGGUAAAUUCAAUUGAUUGGACAUGAUUUGGAAAGGCACAAAACUGUCUAUAUGAGGUCCCAUCAUUGACAGUGCAUGUCAGAGCAAAAACCAAGCCGUGAGGUUGACAGAAUUGUCCUUAGAGCUCCGAGACAGGAUUGUUUCAAGGCACAGAUCUGGGGGAAGGGUACCAAAAAAUGUCUGCGGCAUUGAUGGUCCCUAAGAACACAGUGGCCUCCAUCAUUCUUAAAUGGAAUAGGUUUGGAACCACCAAACUCUUCCUGGAGCUGGCCGCCCGGCCAAACUGAGCAAUCGGGGAAGAAGGGCCUUGGUCAGGGAGGUGACCAGGAACCCGAUGGUCACUCUGACCGAGCUCUAGAGUUCCUCUGUGGAGAUGGGAGAACCUUCCAGAAGGACAACCAUCUCUGAAGCACUCCACCAAUCAGGCCUUUAUGGUAGAGUGGCCAGACAGAAGCCACUCCUCAGUAAAAGGCACAUGACACCCCGCUUGGAGUUUCCCAAAAGGCACCUAAUGAUUCUGACCAUAAGAAUCAAGAUUCUCUGGUCUGAUGAAACCAAGAUUGAAGUCUUUGGCGUGAAUGCCAAGUGUCACGUCUGGAGGAAACGUGGCACUAUCUGUACAGUGGAGCAUGGUGACAGCGGACACCCUAGUUUAACUCCUCUUGACAAUUCAAAACUCUGAUAAGUAGCCGUUAUUUACUAUUUUACACCUGGGGUUGCUAUACAUUAUUUUUACCCAUUUUAUAAGAGAAUUACUGAAAUUGAAAAAAUCCAGGCAUUUAUAAAUAAAAUCCAGUCUUUAUCAAAUGCCUUUUCAAAAUCUGCUAUAAAUACCAUUCCUGGCUUCUUAUAUGUUUCAUGAUUUUCUAUUAGUUGUCGUAUAUUAUCUCCAAUGUAUCGUCCAUGUAAAAAACCUGUCUGAUCAGGAUGAACAAUACCUGGUAAAACCCUUUUAAUUCUGAGAGCUAUGCAUUUUGCUAGUAUUUUUGCAUCCAACAUUGAAGUGUAAGGGGCCUCCAGUUUUUUAGAUAGACUGCGUCUUUAUAUUUGCCAUCUGAGUCUUGUUUUAAUAAUAGGGAAAUCAGACCUUCCUGCCGAGUACCUGACAUACUACCAUUUCUAUAGCAGUAGUUAAAACAAUCUAACAAUGGAGCUUUUAGUAUAUCAAAAAAUACUUGAUAUACCUCUGGUAUGCCAUCAAGCCCUGGGGUUUUUCCAGACUGAAAGGAUUUAAUAGCCUCAAAAAGUUCUUCCACUGUGAUUUGGCCUUCGCACUGAUCUUUCUGUACAUUUGUUAAUUUUCAAUUUUUUUAAUAUUAUUUGGAAAGAAUUCCUUACCAUAAUCUUCAUACAGUGGGAAAGGAUAAGACGGAAAAAAAGAACAUCUGCCUAAAAUAAUUAGCUUCCUCUUUUAAAAUAUCAUUCAGAGAAUCAUAGAUGACUCCGUCUUCAGUAACGAGUUUCUGCAAAUGAUUUUUGUUAGCGUUCCUGUAUUGGUGAUUCAGGAAGAACUUUGUGCAUUUUUUUCCAUAUUCCAUCCAGGUUGCUUUAUUUUUGUAAUAGAUUACAUUAGAUCGUUCUUGAAUAAGUUUCUCAAGUUUUUUUGGUUUUUCUUCUUACUUAUACUUACUCUGUAGUAUCAUUUUUAUUGCUAUCUACCUGUACUAUUAGUUGAUGGAUAUCCCUUGUUAGUCUUGUCUCUUUAGCCAGAAACUGCUUUUUUAUUAUUGAUGAAUAUUGAAUUGAAUGACCCCUG
rnacentral:lncRNA from 1 species